AAAACUACAAUUAUCCUACAUAUACAACAAAUUAAGUUAAAUUGAAAACUCAUACUUCAGGAUUAUAUUGGAACCAAUCACUAAUCUGACUGAGCAUUAGAGCAUUCAAGUAUGUCUCUGUGCAAGGUAUGCUUUCAACUACUUUAUUUCACCAAUGUUGGAUUGGUCCAAUGUAAAUAUCAUUUUCUGCCCAGGUGUUUUUUUCUUCUCCUAAAUGCGGUUCAACCAUAUCAUGAG